UCCAGCUGGGAUCCAUCGCGCAGUCCACCUCGUCCAUGCGUGCAGUCCCUCCUUGUCCGCUCGCUUGACAGCAGAGGUGAGACCUACCUCUGUGCCUCCUCCUCCACCUUACGGCCAGUUCAAUUUGCUCUAGCAAUUCAAUUUUGUCAUGUGCAUCACCCAGAUGAAUAUGUAUGUGUUUUGUUUAGUAUACAUUGAGUAAAUUUAGUAUUUUUUUUUUCAACUCACUCCAGCAAUCCUAUUAUUUUCAAUUUGACGUUUAUGUGUACAUUGAGAAAGUUGAGUAUUGUCGUGGUCGACAAUGACCAUGACUAGCUAAGUAACUUUGUCCAAUUAUCUAUAUGGGUGCAUAUCUUGUCUUUACUGAAAUGCCUCCACGAACAAGAAUACUAGUUCCAUCAGUUUCAAGUACGUGUGAUGUGGUCCUCUGGUUUUUUAUUCUUUCGUGAAAUUCUUGUAGUGUUCUACAUCUCCUUGUUCUCUCGUAAUGGGGCGUGUACUGGUUUUUCCAUGAAAAUAUUCUGUAGCUAGCUGGUAGUGCAACUACUCUCUCGCCUGUGUUGCUUCCUAUCCUUCCGGUGCCACUGUAACUACUCUCUCGCCUGUGUUAUUGUUCUAUGUGAUGCCUCUGCUUUGUGUCCAUGCCCAACUUGCUGAUGUUUGUCUCUCACUAGGUGCUAAUUCUCUAUCUAAUUGAUUCCGAUCGACAGCAAAUAGUGCUCCCAAAUCUGCAGAAGGAGCUCCUAAUUUUUAUGUCUGAAGUUCAGCUGUACCAUGGUGACACCGUUCAAAAACACUAGCAGGUGAUGUGCUAACCAGCUGCAGGACAUGGUCUCCUCGAGUUGCAGGUCGCACCCUUUACCCAUCUGUGUUGUCACCCGCGCCCUACCCAUUGCAUUUCUUCAAAAGGUUGAGAGUUCUAUUGGGUUAGAAGCCACAGGAGAGCAUUUAAAUUUGUGUUUGCUUUUGAGUAAAUGUUCUAGGGCUGAAUGUUAUCGUACAAUCUUGUUCAAACCAUGAUUUUUCUUCAGAAGGUUUAGAGUUCUAUUGGGUUAGAAACAUGUACAGUUUGUCAGCUUGUUUCAGGUCGUCUAACUCUGGAGUUCUAGAUUGAUUUACUAGGUUGCCCGCGCCGGCCGUCGAAGCCUACCAAGGUGAUGCCUCACUGCUGCCAGCGUCUCCCUGCACCCCUCCUCCACACCACAAGGUCGAUAGAGAUAUCACGUUGUUUCUGUUGCUCUUCUACUACAUCUUCAGGUUCAGAAAAGGAAACAACAACGUUUCACUGCAGUCCAAAUCCAUGUGUGGGGAGAUGCUACAAGUUUGCCGUCCCUCGAUCUGCCGAGAAGCCUCGCCGUCGUGCCUUCUUUUCUUGCAAUCGCGUAGCUUUAGCCUGAUAUGCUCGGCUGAUGCAUCUCUUUCUUUUUGUUUCUUUUUUGCAAACUUCUUGCUUUUCAUACCUCAACUUGUGUAGAUCUUUUUGCAAUACCGACAUAGAGAAGUCUGCACUUCCAACUGACAUUCAAAAGUUCAGCUUGACGCCAUGCGGGACACUGCAGAGCUGUCGUGGUGUCGAUCGAGGCGCUGAAGUCUAGGGCUGUUGCAUGCUCUUUCUUGCUGAGGUCGAGCUAGAGUGCGAUGGUGUCCAUGCUCGCCACCCUUCUAGAGUCUGGUGCUAAUGCGGGCUUUCUCUUGCUAUUUUUUGUCUUACCAUGAGAGGGAUAACAAAUUAUUUAAUGUACCUUUUCUCCUUUAN
rnacentral:lncRNA from 1 species